UUGGGAAUCUUGGACAAUGGGGGAAACCCUGAUCCAGCCAUGCCGCGUGAGUGAUGAAGGCCUUAGGGUUGUAAAGCUCUUUUACCCGGGAAGAUAAUGACUGUACCGGGAGAAUAAGCUCCGGCUAACUUCGUGCCAGCAGCCGCGGUAAUACGAAGGGGGCUAGCGUUGUUCGGAAUUACUGGGCGUAAAGCGCGCGCAGGCGGCCAAACAAGUCAGGGGUGAAAUCCCAGAGCUCAACUCUGGAAUUGCCUUUGAAACUUUUUGGCUAGAGUGCGAGAGAGGUGAGUGGAAUUCCCAGUGUAGAGGUGAAAUUCGUAGAUAUUGGGAAGAACACCGGUGGCGAAGGCGGCUCACUGGCUCGUUACUGACGCUCAGGCGCGACAGCGUGGGGAUCAAACAGG
rnacentral:rRNA from 1 species